rnacentral:tRNA from 13 species
GCGCUUGUAGCCCAGUUGGAUAGAGCGUUUGGCUACGAACCAAAAGGUCGGGGGUUCGAAUCCCUCCAAGCGCA